rnacentral:rRNA from 1 species
UACGAAGGGGGCGAGCGUUGCUCGGAUUUACUGGGCGUAAAGGGCGCGCAGGCGGCGAGUUUUGUCAGGCGUGAAAGCCCCGGGCUCAACCUGGGAAUUGCGCUUGAAACGGGCUUGCUAGAGAUCGGGAGAGGAGAGUGGAAUUCCCAGUGUAGAGGUGAAAUUCGUAGAUAUUGGGAAGAACACCGGUGGCGAAGGCGGCUCUCUGGACCGAUACUGACGCUGAGGCGCGAAAGCGUGGGGAGCAAACAGG